CUUCAUUUCUCUGAUGAAUCUCUUUAAUGUGGAUAUGCCCUUCAGUGAAGUAAAUUCCCACUUUUUCCUGCCUUCACAUCCUGUGCUACUCUUGCCCAAGUCUUUCAUGAAUUCACUACAAUGACUCAGCCCGACAUCGUGGGGUGAAAGGUAGGAAGAGGUUCCUCAUUUUCUCUUGAUAUUACAAGGAUAAUAAUGGAACACACAGGCUCUUCAUUAGUUAAAAGUCCUCAAUCUCUCUUUAUACACAAAUGACCCAUUAUUUUUGAUCUUACAUUUCUUUGGUGAUAUCCUUCAUUCCACUUCAUAAAUCCUUUUGGUUGCCUGCCCACAUGCACCAUGUGGUAACACAAGAGAAAAAGAUUCUUUAAAAAGAGGACAAAAGGCCAGAAGAGGAGAUAUAUUUGAUUCAAGUUUCAAGUUGGAUGAAGGAUCUUGGACUUGGAAGAGAGACUGGAGACAAGACACCUGAGGAGUGACCGGAAGACAGACAUCCAGGCUUCUUUUCAUUCAGACGGUCAUCAUUGUAACUACUGACCAAAAUACAUAUGAGCAGAAGACUUUCCCUUCCAAGCAAUGAAAGAUGCGGACAGUCUCUCAUCCUGCUUCUUGGGGUACUUCAUAGCCCAGCCUGUGGUUCACUGUUUGCCCCUUCCUGCUUCUCGUGACAACCCUCCAAAGAGCUACAAGUUGGGUAUUCCUGGAGGUUAAACUCAAGUGCACAAGUAUUUAUUAAGAACCUUGAAUAUUCCAGGCCCAGUACUCUUAGUGAUAUAAAAAUGAAAUUGAAA
rnacentral:lncRNA from 1 species